rnacentral:misc_RNA from 1 species
GGACCCUUUUGCUGGUUUUCCCUUUGCGAGCAGAAGGUCGCGGAGCUAAUUCUUUUGGGGUUACUACGUGACCUUUAUUUAACCCAACAAAUAGGCCCGUAUUUGGAGCCAUCACCUCUAGACGAAUAGCAGUAACGAGGAUCUGGGGCGGGUUGUGACACAGAAACUAGGGUUUGGGUUUCCUAUUCCUUUUAUAUGUUGACACGAAAAUCCUUAGGGC